rnacentral:rRNA from 1 species
UUGAUCCUGGCUCAGAACGAAGGCGAGCGGCGUGUUUUAAGCAUGCAAGUCGAACGGUAACGGGGGAGUGCUUGCACUCCUGCUGACGAGUGGCGCACGGGUGAGUAACACGUAGAUAAUCUACCCUGGAGACUGGGAUAGCCAUUAGAAAUAGUGGGUAAUACCAGAUGAAGUAGCGGAUUGUAAAAAUGUGCUAUCAAAGAUUUAUCGCUCUGGGAUGAGUCUGCGGGCAAUUAGCUUGUUGGUAGGGUAAGAGCCUACCAAGGCAACGAUUGUUAGCUGGCCUGAGAGGGUGGUCGGCCACAUUGGGACUGAGACACGGCCCAGACUCCUACGGGAGGCAGCAGCUAAGAAUACUCCGCAAUGGGGGAAACCCUGACGGAGCGACGCCGCGUGAUAGAUGAAGGCUUUACAGGUUGUAAAUAUCUUUUAUAAGGGAAGAAGGUAUUCCACAGGAGAGUAUUGACGGUACCUUAUGGAUAAGCCCCGGCUAAUUACGUGCCAGCAGCCGCGGUAAUACGUAAGGGGCGAGCGUUGUUCGGAGUUAUUGGGCGUAAAGGGUAUGUAGGCGGAGUAUUAAGUCAGAUGUGAAAUUUAAAGGCUCAACCUUUAACCUGCAUUUGAUACUGAUGCUCUUUGAGUUCGGGAGAGGAUACUGGAAUUCCUGGUGGAGGAGUGAAAUCUUUAGAUAUCAGGAAGAACACCAAUGGCGAAGGCAGGUAUCUGGCCCUGAACUGACGCUGAGGUACGAAAGCCAGGGUAGCGAACGGGAUUAGAUACCCCGGUAGUCCUGGCAGUAAACGAUGUAUACUGGGUAUAUCAGGUAUCGACCCUGGUGUGCCG